UCGCCGGGGUAGAGGUUUUCAAUACCUCGUCGACUGGGAGGGCUGCGGUCCCGAGGACCGGUCAUGGGUUCCCGGUUCCUGGAUCACUGACCAGUCACUCCUUGAGUCCUUCCGGUCUUCCCGUCCCUCCACGUCUUCCUCUCGGUCCCCUGGUGGUGACCGUUGAGGGGGGGGUGGUGUCAGGACUCAGUCUCUGCUGGCCUGCUUUUUCCCUCUGCUCUCUCCACAGCUGACGGCAAUUGACUGAUGGGCGGGGUGCGCGCCCUCGGCGUGUGUUCAGCGGCGCUGGGCUGCACUAUAAGAUCUGCACUCUGACAGCAGGAGGACGCCAGAGUAUUAUCCGUUGUUGGUUCUGCUUGCCUUUUUCCCCCCCGAGGCUCAGGCGAAGCAGAGCAGCCUUCCGCCUCAGCUCGUUUCUGGCCCAGCUGAUCCCUCGUCUCUGGCUCCUGGAAACCCACUCGGCUUCGUGGACCGCCGAACCGGGCCGUGGAAGGACCACCCCCGGAUCCGUCUGGUUCCCCUGCUGUCUCAGGAUUUGGCCAGCGCCGCUCGGACCCAGCCUGCGCCCUGCUCCACCGGUCAGCUGUCGGAACCUCUCCGCCUGCAGAGCUAAGUUCACUCAGUCCCCCCCCCCCCGGCCGUUCCCAAGCCUAAGUGAUUGUUCGUGUUCCGCUCGAGAGAUUCGCCUCGCGAACUCCUCUUCUGGUGGUCGUUUCCUAGAG